rnacentral:tRNA from 1 species
AUCCUAUUAGCUCAAUUGGUUAGAGUAUCAUGUUAUUAAUGUGAAAUUUAUAAUUUUGUAUGUUCAAGUCCUACAUAGACUA